AUUGAACGCUGGCGGCAGGCCUAACACAUGCAAGUCGAGCGGAUGAAGGGAGCUUGCUCCUGGAUUCAGCGGCGGACGGGUGAGUAAUGCCUAGGAAUCUGCCUGGUAGUGGGGGAUAACGUCCGGAAACGGGCGCUAAUACCGCAUACGUCCUGAGGGAGAAAGUGGGGGAUCUUCGGACCUCACGCUAUCAGAUGAGCCUAGGUCGGAUUAGCUAGUUGGUGGGGUAAAGGCCUACCAAGGCGACGAUCCGUAACUGGUCUGAGAGGAUGAUCAGUCACACUGGAACUGAGACACGGUCCAGACUCCUACGGGAGGCAGCAGUGGGGAAUAUUCGACAAUGGGCGAAAGCCUGAUCCAGCCAUGCCGCGUGUGUGAAGAAGGUCUUCGGAUUGUAAAGCACUUUAAGUUGGGAGGAAGGGCAGUAAGUUAAUACCUUGCUGUUUUGACGGUACCAACAGAAUAAGCACCGGCUAACUUCGUG
rnacentral:rRNA from 1 species